CAUAUUUCAGUUAAAGUAUGGCGCUGUUGAUGAUGAGACCAUGAGAAUAUCUCUUCUAGCCUCACAGAGAGCCAUAAAGCAGAUUCUCUCGCUCUUUAACCAGAGAGCUUCCACUGGUUUUCUGCUUAGAAGCUAAUCGACAAUUUUCCCUGAUAUACCAAGGUGUCGAGCUGGACGAACACAGCAGGCCAAGCUGCAUCACGGAAGCACGGAAGCAGGAAAGCCGGCGUUUCGGGUCUAGACUUUUCUUCAGAAAAGCUUAUUAACAAACGUUAUUCCGCUCAAGCAAUAGAGACCUCCAAGAUAACACAGUGUCGGCAUCCUUGAAAGCGUAGGCACCUCCAUUAUAAACCGAGAUCUAAGUGCGCGAGCUGGAUAACGACGACCUUUCCAUUUAAAGGUUCUCUUCCCCCCCCCCCCACUUCCCCGCUGAUUGGUCACAGAGGGUCUCAGCGGACCGCCGAUUGGCGGAUGCGGCCGUUGGGUUUCGACGGGACGCGGCCCGCCACAGGCGGGAGACGGCGCGAGAUCUCACCGAACUGCCGGCUCCAGGCGCGGCCGCCACAUCGUUGGGUGGCCUCCAACAGCCGGAUCUUGCUGAAGCCGUGCUGCAGGAGCCUUUGAGCGGCUCCCAGACCCGCUAAUCCGCAACCGACGAUGACGAUGCUGGGGUCGUGCUCCUGCCUGGUGAUAAGCCGAGCCAUUUUUGUCCUGGAGAUCCCAGCUGGUGUUUUACACUGCCCUAUAACCCGCCGCUCGGCUGCCUAGAUUCUGCGCAUUUUGGCCACUUUAAAGUUCCCCAGACAUAACACACCCUUGAGGUGGGCGGUAACCAACAAGUACGUAGCAUGAGUUGCAAAAACAAAAAUCAAAGCUGCCUCCAGCAUUGACAGUUCUGACUAACUCUCAAAGCUUUGCAUUCGUGUUGAAACCAUUUUACAUCGCUCCAAAAAACACAUUGCACUGAUUGAUGGAGAAUUUGAACCUACUCGCUCAGAGAUGUUCGGAGCAGACGGUAUUUGAACCCAGGUCUAUCCCAGCUUGGAGCUGCAGUGGAGGAAGGGGGUUGUGAGGGCCUGUUGUGGUGACGGCAGUGUGGUGGACCUGAAUGUCCGUUCCUCGUGACCAUGGUGACCACGGCUUUAUCGGAGGCUUCACUGUCAGUGAGUCUGGUCCGUUCCUCUUGGCGGCAGUUUCGGCGGUGGCUUCAGUUGUGACGGUACAGUGGUUCGUUCCUUGUAGCCACGGCAGCAAUGUGGUGGUAUUGCGCAGCGGCUUCAAAGUCGGUGACUUGGUGGUUCUGGUCAGUUCCCCCCUUGCUAUGACAGCAAUGCAGUAGCUUCGGUCAUGGCUUUGGCGGGGGCAUUGUGGUGCGUCCGUAUCAGAAAUCCCCGCUUUGGCAGACUCAGGGGCAGCUUCGGUGGUGGCGCCUCAUAGCCAGUCCAUAAACUCAUGUUAAUAAAAUGCGAGGCUGGAUGAACACAGCAGGCCAAGCAGCAUCUCAGGAGCACAAAAGCUGACAUUUCGGGCCUAGACCCUUCUUCCGUGGGGGGAACAAAAGUUGAACUCUGUCUGAACUUUUUCUGUUAUUUCUUUUUCAAAUUGCUGUAUUUAAAAUAGCGCUAAAUUGUGGCAUAUUAUGCUAAUCUCACUGUAUUUUCCUAAAUACAUGUGGCAAUAAAUUGCUAUUCCAAUCUAAUUUAAUCUAGAUAUAUAAGGAUGAUUUCUUUAUUCCUGCUGCCUUAACCUAGAUUUUCUAAUCCCAAUGAAUCCCCCUAAUGAAAAAUUAUUGAAGUAAGCUCAGUGGAAUAAUGUAUUCCACUUUACUUCGGGAGCACUAAGGGAAACCUUUUGAAAAGACCUUUUGGUUUCUCUGCAAUGCGCAGUACCUUAUUUUAGAAUGGGUAAACAUACCUCCACUUUCAUGGACAACAUACAGAGCAAAUUCAUCUGCAGUAUUUUCCACCUGUAAAACACAUCAAGAAAACCAAGUGAAAUAAAACAGGACUACAAAACCUUAAAAUGGGUUUCUAUAUUAUAAAGUGAUUCUGUUUUUUAUUUCAGAUUUCAUUGGCCUCUUUCAUUCACACUAUCGCCAUUCAUAUAAAUUUUAGAAAGAGUGGUCCAUUUUCCUAACAGCAUUAAACAUAAAGUCUAAUCUUAUACAGUUGUUUUGGCUACUUUUCAAUAGUACAUUUUAUCCUGUCUUAAAAUAGCUCGUAUCCUGUUGUUGUUGCUUGCAGCUGCUCAUGCCAAGAGACUUGCUGUUGUGGCAUGCUGCACAUGUUUGACUUGCCCCAUACUCUCACAUCCAGUGCAACUCAUCUGGAACACUGUGACCUCUGCCAUCCAACUAUACCAUAGUACUGCCUAUAGUUGUAUUACUACCAUAGUCCCCUUGCUGCUGCCCUCCACUUUGCCCUCUUGAAGUGAUCUCACUGUAGAUUUUCAGUGCUGAUCAAAAGGCAGAAAUACUGGCAUGUUCUUUUCUGGAUGUCACUUCUAAGACUUCCACUGCUGCUGUAACAUUAAGCCACUUUUCAUUGUCUUACAGUCCGUAUCAACAUUCUUGCUAAAAUGCACAGCUGCCUGACUGCAGCUGCUCUGAGGUUCCGCAUUUGCCCGUUGAAUGGCAUGUCAAUGCAUUGACCUGCGGUUCUGGAAGACUUUAUCAUUAACUGACCUUGGAGAUCUGCUCUGUGCAGAGAAAAUAAAAAUACAGGCAAAGUAGAUCCCUGUAUGGAAUUUUCAGCAUAUAUCUUACCAUUAAGAUGUGUUAUGGACCAGAUCAAACCCCUUCAAAAUAUACUAAGAAGGUAGCUCAGACCCAACUUUUUCUUAGUUUAAAGGUAAAUGUAAAGUGUUACAUUUCAAAUGCAAUUUGAUUGGUCAAACUGCUUGAAGUCAAGCAAAAUACAAUUUAUUCAUCCACUGCAGUUAAAAUACAACAAAAGAAAAAAAUAAAAGAAUUAACUUAGCUGCAACUCUAUUGAAAUGCUCAACAAAAUAAGAGAUACAGUAACAAUUACUCAUUAACCGUUGCAACAUAGUAACAUACCAUAAACACACCCUUGGCAAAAGGCAAAUUCAAAAAACAGAUUGUGUCAUAUGCAACUCCAGCAGACCAGGAGGAAAGACAUCAAAAGAACUCGGACAGAGCAAGGAGAGAUGUACUGCAGCAACAAACGCUACUGAAAAACUAAGAAACCAAAAAUACUAGUUCUGUGGAAGCUUGACCAUGCCCAUUCAGGCCACUUCUAUUGGUCCAAAGGUUUAAUAAAACCCAAGGCCCCACAAGUUGUUUGCUUUGUUGGUCUUCCAAAUAGACAGUUGGAUACCUCUGUCUUAAAGCCUCUCUUUAUAAAAAAGGGCAAAUAACCUCUUAAAGGCAUAGUAUUGUCACAUAUAUCAAAGACCUCUAUAUUUUUCCAUAGAUCUUUACUUAUUGUCCACGUGUCUUUGUGGAAAGUGGACAGAAUGGAGUAUUAGAUUGUCACAAGCUUGAGAUUUCUGGAUUUCAUUCUUCAUCUUCACUAAAUUACUUCUGGCCAUCUCUACCAUUAUCUGAACAUUGGCAUCACAUAUGUUAUCUUCUUGUAUCAGUUGUCUUAAGUAGCCAAACAGUUCUUAUUGCUAUAGCAUCACACUGUUCACUUCAAUCUUCGCUCUUGCUCCUUCUAAUGCAUUCUUUCUAACUCCUAUUGUAUUUGUCUUUUGAGUGAUCAUGCUCAGUCCAUAUUCUAACCUCCUUACUUGAUCAAAGACAUUGGAUGAGUCCUCUUCUGAUUCUGCAAGUAACGCUAUGUUGUCAGCAUAUGGGUAGGUUGGUGUAAUCUUGACUUCAAUUUUUGGCCCUCUAAUUACAUCUAAUUCUUUGAAUAUUGUUCUGUGUACAGACUGAACAAGAUAGCAGCGAUAAGGAUGAUUAUCAUUCCAUCCAUAAUGUACAGUGGAAACCUACUUUGGGGAAGUGAUGGCUUAGCGAUAUUAUUGCAGGACUGUUAAUCCAGAGACCCGGAAAUGUUCUGGACACCCAGGUUCAAAUCCCAACAUAGCAGAUGGUGGAAUUUGAAUUCAAUAAGUAUCUCGAGUUAAGGGUCUAAUGAUGAUCAUGAAUCCAUUGCUAAUUGUCAGAAAAAAACCCAUCUGGGUCACUAUUGUCCUUUAGGGAAAGAAACUGCCAUCCUUACCUGGUCUGGCCUACAUGUGACUCCAGGCCCACAGCAAUGUGGUUGAUUCUUAACUGUUCUCAAGACAAUUAGGGAUAGGCAAUAAAUGCUGCCUAACCAGUGAUGGCCACAUCCCAUGAAUGAAUAAAGAAUGAUGAGAUGUGUCCUACUAAUUUUGUUUUACUCAAUGAAGAAUACAUUGUUUUAUCGUCACGGAAAAUUGAAAACUAGGUUUUCUUUUAUCAGUAAUCCAUACAAGUUUAGAAAUUAUGUUUAAAAACCUAACCAGCCAAACAAUCCUUCAAUUCACUUUAUGAUUUGUAACCAGGACUAUCAAUUAGUAGAUAAACUUUUGGGUUUUUCAUAAGAUCAUUGGUUUCAAGUUUGCUGUGAAUGGCUAUCGAUUGGUGUCAGCUGUUUGUCAGACAUAUUCAUUGACAUUACACUGAGGUUCCUGUUAGCUAACAUUCCAAAUCAUGUGAUGUCCUUUGCAUUACCUUUUGGAUCUGGAUGAAUGAGUUAACAGCUGUAUAUUUCCUUAAUAAAACUGAAGAGUUGUUAAUGAGCAA